CUUCUUGACCUAUAAAAGCUUUAUCAGGACAACCAGGGAGCAUAGUUUGAAGACUAUUCGAAACCAAGCUAAAUGUUCAAAUACUUGUUGCUCCUCGUUGCCCUUUUGGUCGCCGUAGCCAUGGCUGUGCCAAGAGCCGAACCGCAAUUUGUUUAUCCCUACUAUGGUGGAUACCCAUAUUAUUCUGGAUUUGCCAGAGGCUAUCCAUUACCCUACGUGGGCUACAAAUGAUUCAUCGAUGUAUCCGCAUACGUUCUGAUUAAAUACAUGUUUUGAAU